rnacentral:lncRNA from 1 species
CUGGAUACUUCAGUCUUGCAGGAACUAAAUGCAAUGGGUAAUGUGGACAGAAUGUGCCUUGGGUAUAAGUUUAGCCCUGUUUUUUAAGUGGUUGAUAAUUACUCUUUUUCGUAUUUUCCUUGAUAUCUAGCAGGUGACACACAGAAUGAAAGUGAGGAACGAGGACUCACAGGUUUUGCAGGAGGUAGCUUUGACUCAUCAACGCCAAUACAAGCUUUGAUUUGGAGCAGGAGGAGGUCUACAAAUACAAGAGGUGUCACCUGGCCCUUAAUGAAGACCUUCUGAUCGAGAGAUCAAGCCAAGACCCUUCUUGCUUGAAGUGAAAAACCUCCACUAUCAGUUGAGCAACCUACUCCCAUGCGGCCAAGUUAGAAGCUUGGAAAGAAAGAGGAAGAUUUUAAGACAAUCUGCUAAUACCUGCUGGUUACCAGAAAUUCCCCUGGUCUUCACAACGUGGCCUGUCUUUCUAUCAACGACUGCACAGACAGCAAAAAUAAGAAUUCACCAAAAAAGCUCCUGGCAAGCAUCUUGAAUUAUCUGACUGCCUUGGAAGAUAGUCGUGAUGAGCCAUCCACCACCUCAAGUCACGGAGGUGCAAGAGAAAUCCGUCCUGAUGUACAGAGGAGCCUUGGAAGGGAUGGAGAUUUCUGCCUCAAACUCCU